rnacentral:rRNA from 1 species
UACGGAGGGUGCAAGCGUUGUCCGGAUUUAUUGGGUUUAAAGGGUGCGUAGGCGGUUCUUUAAGUCCGGGGUGAAAGCCCACUGCUCAACAGUGGAACUGCCCUGGAAACUGGAGAACUUGAGUACAGACGAGGGCGGCGGAAUGGAUAGUGUAGCGGUGAAAUGCAUAGAUACUAUCCAGAACUCCGAUUGCGAAGGCAGCUUACUAGGCUGUAACUGACGCUGAGGCACGAAAGCGUGGGGAGCGAACAGG